rnacentral:rRNA from 1 species
GACGAACUGCCCAACGUUGUUCGGAAUCACUGGGCUUAAAGGGCGCGUAGGCGGCAGAUCAAGUCAGGGGUGAAAUCCGGCAGCUCAACUGUCGAAGUGCCUUUGAUACUGAUUUGCUCGAGGGAUAUAGGGGUCUGUGGAACUUCUGGUGGAGCGGUGAAAUGCGUAGAGAUCGGGCGGAACACCAGCGGCGAAGGCGGCAUCCUGGCCCUUACCUGACGCUGAGGCGCGAGAGCGUGGGGAGCAAACCGG